rnacentral:rRNA from 1 species
UGCCUCAGUAACGGCGAGUGAAGCGGCAACAGCUCAAAUUUGAAAUCUGGCUCCUUCGGGGCCCGAGUUGUAAUUUGCAGAGGAUGCGUCGGGUACGGGUGCCUUCCGAGUUCCCUGGAACGGGACGCCAUAGAGGGUGAGAGCCCCGUCUGGUAGGACACCCAGCCCGUGUGACGCUCCCUCGACGAGUCGAGUAGUUUGGGAAUGCUGCUCUAACGGGAGGUAUACUCCUUCCAAGGCUAAAUACCGGCUGGAGACCGAUAGCGCACAAGUAGAGUGAUCGAAAGAUGAAAAGCACUUUGAAAAGAGAGUCAAACAGCACGUGAAAUUGUUAAAAGGGAAGCGCUCGCUACCAGACUUGGGUUCGGCGGUUCAACCGGGGCCACGCCCCGGGGCAUUCCGCCGGCCCAGGCCAGCAUCAGCUUUCCGUCGGGGGUAAAGGCGUCGGGAAUGUGGCUCCCCUUCGGGGGAGUGUUAUAGCCCGUCGUGUCAUACCCUUCGGGGGGCUGAGGUACGCGCUUCUGCAAGGAUGCUGGCGUAAUGGUAGCUAGUGACCCGUCUUGAAACACGGACCAAGGAGUCAACCUUAUGUGCGAGUGCCCGGGCGUAAAACCCCAGCGCGGAAUGAAAGUGAACGUAGGUGAGAGCUUCGGCGCAUCACCGACCGAUCCUGAUGUCCUCGGACGGAUUUGAGUGAGAGCAUAUAGGGUUGGACCCGAAAGAAGAUGAACUAUGCGUGUGUAGGGUGAAGCCAGAGGAAACUCUGGUGGAGGCUCGCAGCGGUUCUGACGUGCAAAUCGAUCGUCAAACAUGCGCA